rnacentral:tRNA from 1 species
GCGGGUUUUACAGUAUAAGUUGUUGAAUAUGCACUGAUCGGCCCAGCUUCCCAAGCUGAAUACGAGGGUUCGAUUCCCUUCACCCGCUCCA